CAGCAAUGAUGUUUGAAUUUCUUCACCUGAACCAUUGUGUGGAUUAAAACACGAGCUUUUUAACCCUGAGCACA